GCAGCCCGGCUGCCGCGGAGGUGCGGUGGAGCCAGGGGUCCAGAGCCACCGGGUUAUUGUGGAAAUGCUGCGCCGCCGUGGUGGUCAGCUGCGCCGCUGCACGCUGCCACUCCGCCUCCCGCUCCGCCAGCCGCGACUGUGCCACCGGCUGGGGCCCCGAAUCCCCCGCCUGCCCUAUGGCACCCAAACGAUCGUUACGAUCGCUGUUACCUAGGUCGUAGAUCGUUACCCCUCCGGCAUCGUUACGAUCUCGCUACGAUCUGCUUACCAUCUUAACCAGCCAUGGUAACAGCCUUGUCACGGUCUACAAGGCACACCAGUAACCAUCACUUUGACGCCCGUUACAUGGCAGCCUUGUGCUUUGCUGAAGGCCUACCUCAGUACUAACGUAAGAACUAUGUAGUCCGCUACUCCACAUGCUAGCCAUCUGUCAAGGCUUGAUAGCAUGACAAGUGCAGAUGCUCAUGCAACACUUAUGCAACACUUAUGCAACACUACCGCAAGUCCAUACGUACAUGCAACAAUACGCCAAGUCAUGUCUGCGUGUGAACGUGCAACUAGCCACUGGCAGCAACCACUUGCAUGUCUGCUGGGCACAACGUUUCUGACCCACCACCUUGACGCCCGCCGCCACCACAGCUACCAUGCCAAACUAUGCCACUGGCGCCUCCAUCUCUAGCGCCAGACAGCUGGUGUCACGCUGGCUCCUGUAGUUUUGCUUCCACCGGCAGCGC
rnacentral:lncRNA from 1 species